rnacentral:lncRNA from 1 species
CCUUGGCUCCUCUCCGUAAGUGGUAACCAUUUUAGGAACGGGAGCCAUUUUAGAAUGUAGGACCGUUGGUUCCAUUUUGUCUGGUAGAGAACUCUAUCAGUUGGAAACUCUGUGUAACAUGGAGCAGAACUCUUUGGAUCAUCACAGACAUGGCAUACAAGGCUUGCUGCCUGGACUGAGUGAGGAACGGGAGGUGCUCUUCAGAGACUGCCUUGAAAAGUCUUGGGGAAGAGACAGACUCCAUCCCAAUACAUUCAUCUCGGCUAUAUAUUUUUGAAGACAACUUGUUUUAAUUAUUUACAGUUCUGAAGAUCGAACUCGGGACCUUGUGCUUGCAAGGCAGGAAAUGGCAUUACUCAGCUAAAUCUCCGCCCCAAUGAUGCUUUUCUUAAAAUGAGAACAAAUCCAAAUCUCAAGGUCUUAUCUUGUACUGAGACCAGUUUUUACAUUUCAAUGACCUAAGGACCUGGAAUGUUAAUGAUCUUACUGAACUGCUCCUGAAGAAUCCCCAUCAAUGGACCUGACUUCAGUUGGAUUGAUAGAUUACUUCUCACCACUCAGAAAGCUGAUACAAGGGCAAGAGCAGUAGAGUGGGAAGAAGGUUGCUUGGAAACUCAGAUGCAAAUAUGAAAAUCAUUCCCAGAACUACAUCAACUUUUUAGUGUGUAUAUUUGUUUGGUUCACUUUGCAUUAUACUGAAUUUCUAAUUUCUAUUUAAUAAACAAACUGCAAAUGGCCCUUUUCUAAGCUAUUUCAAAAUCUACUUACUUAAAUUAAUAGUAAAUUAUAUUU